UACGUAGGAUGCAAGCGUUAUCCGGAUUUAUUGGGUUUAAAGGGUGCGUAGGCGGCCUAUUAAGUUAGUGUUGAAAACGUUCGGCUAAACCGAAUACCCGCCAUUGAUACUGAUAGACUUGAGUGCGACAGAGGGUGUUGGAAUGUGUGGUGUAGCGGUGAAAUGCUUAGAUAUCACGCAGAACACCAAUUGCGAAGGCAGAUGCCUAUGUCGUAACUGACGCUGAGGCACGAAAGCGUGGGGAGCAAACAGG
rnacentral:rRNA from 1 species